GGCGGACGGGUGAGUAAUGCCUAGGAAUCUGCCUGGUAGUGGGGGAUAACGUCCGGAAACGGGCGCUAAUACCGCAUACGUCCUGAGGGAGAAAGUGGGGGAUCUUCGGACCUCACGCUAUCAGAUGAGCCUAGGUCGGAUUAGCUAGUUGGUGGGGUAAAGGCCUACCAAGGCGACGAUCCGUAACUGGUCUGAGAGGAUGAUCAGUCACACUGGAACUGAGACACGGUCCAGACUCCUACGGGAGGCAGCAGUGGGGAAUAUUGGACAAUGGGCGAAAGCCUGAUCCAGCCAUGCCGCGUGUGUGAAGAAGGUCUUCGGAUUGUAAAGCACUUUAAGUUGGGAGGAAGGGCAGUAAGUUAAUACCUUGCUGUUUUGACGUUACCAACAGAAUAAGCACCGGCUAACUUCGUGCCAGCAGCCGCGGUAAUACGAAGGGUGCAAGCGUUAAUCGGAAUUACUGGGCGUAAAGCGCGCGUAGGUGGGUUCAGCAAGUUGGAUGUGAAAUCCCCGGGCUCAACCUGGGAACUGCAUCCAAAACUACUGAGCUAGAGUACGGUAGAGGGUGGUGGAAUUUCCUGUGUAGCGGUGAAAUGCGUA
rnacentral:rRNA from 1 species